GGCUAUUGAUGAUUUUAAUACAGCUAUGGAGUUCAAUGGCUGUGAUGGGGAAAAACUGAGGAUGGAUCAACAACAUUGCAGUGACUCCACAAUAAUGACCUAAAUGACAGAGUGAAAAAAUACAGCAAAGGAAUACACUUUUUGGCAUAAAUGCAAAUAAAUGCCUUAUGUUUGAGGCAAAUCCAACACAACGCAUCAGAGUAAUUGCCUCCAUAUUGUCAAGCAUAGUGGUGGCUGCAUCAUGUUAUGGGUAAUGUUGCCUUAGGCAGUGUGCGAAUUUAAGUCUGCUGAGCGCAAACUUGUGAAAACUUUCAGUGCACAUUUACUGUGAACACUGAGGCUGUACCCGCUUUAAGUUACAGCUUUACAGUGGCUAUGUAGGUUACUGUGGCUAUUUGAUCAUAAUUUAACCAGAGUGGCCUACCAUAAAAAAACAAUGGAAAAAUGCAUCCUAUAACAUUAACAAGCGCAUCUACUCACGACCGCUCAUGCUGUAAACAUAGCCCAGUUCAAAGUAAAUGGCACAGACCCAUAUAUGGUAAUGGUCUUUUUGCAUAAAUCAAAUCAAAUCAAAUGUAUUUAUAUAGCCCUUCGUACAUCAGCUGAUAUCUCAAAGUGCUGUACAGAAACCCAGCCUAAAACCCCAAACAGCAAGCAAGGCAGGUGUAGAAGCACGGUGGCUAGGAAAAACUCCCUAGAAAGGCCAAAACCUAGGAAAAAACCGAGAGAGGAACCAGGCUAUGUGGGGUGGCCAGUCCUCUUCUGGCUGUGCCGGGUGGAGAUUAUAACAGAACAUGGCCAAGAUGUUCAAAUGUUCAUAAAUGACCAACAUGGUCGUAUAAUAAUAAGGCAGAACAGUUGAAACUGGAGCAGCAGCACGGUCAGAUGGACUGGGGAAAGCAAGGAGUCAUCAUGUCAGGUAGUCCUGGGGCACGGUCCUAGGGCUCAGGUCCUCCGAGAGAGAGAAAGAAAGAGAGAAGGAGAGAAUUAGAGAACGCACACUUAGAUUCACACAGGACACCGAAUAGGACAGGAGAAGUACUCCAGAUAUAACAAACUGACCCUAGCCCCCCGACACAUAAACUACUGCAGCAUAAAUACUGGAGGCUGAGACAGGAGGGGUCAGGAGACACUGUGGCCCCAUCCGAGGACACCCCCGGACAGGGCCAAACAGGAAGGAUAAAUCAAAUCAAUCAUAUAGACCUACUGCAACUCUGAUUGUUUAUGUCACACAGGUCUGCGUAGAGUACGGGCUGAGUAGUGCGUGCCAAUGCAAUGGAAUCCGAAUCCAAU
ensembl:lncRNA